rnacentral:rRNA from 1 species
UACGUAGGGUGCGAGCGUUGUCCGGAAUUACUGGGCGUAAAGAGCUCGUAGGUGGUUUGUCGCGUUGUUCGUGAAAACUCACAGCUUAACUGUGGGCGUGCGGGCGAUACGGGCAGACUGGAGUACUGCAGGGGAGACUGGAAUUCCUGGUGUAGCGGUGGAAUGCGCAGAGUAUCAGGAGGAACACCGGUGGCGAAGGCGGGUCUCUGGACCAUAACUGACGCUGAUGCACGAAAGCGUGGGGAGCAAACAGG